AGUGAACGCUGGCGGUAGGCCUAACACAUGCAAGUCGAACGGCAGCACAGUAAGAGCUUGCUCUUACGGGUGGCGAGUGGCGGACGGGUGAGGAAUACAUCGGAAUCUACUUUUUCGUGGGGGAUAACGUAGGGAAACUUACGCUAAUACCGCAUACGACCUACGGGUGAAAGCAGGGGAUCUUCGGACCUUGCGCGAUUGACUGAGCCGAUGUCGGAUUAGCUAGUUGGCGGGGUAAAGGCCCACCAAGGCGACGAUCCGUAGCUGGUCUGAGAGGAUGAUCAGCCACACUUGAACUGAGACACGGUCCAGACUCCUACGGGAGGCAGCAGUGGGGAAUAUUGGACAAUGGGCGCAAGCCUGAUCCAGCCAUACCGCGUGGGUGAAGAAGGCCUUCGGGUUGUAAAGCCCUUUUGUUGGGAAAGAAAAGCAGCAGGUUAAUACCCCGCUGUUCUGACGGUACCCAAAGAAUAAGCACCGGCUAACUUCGUG
rnacentral:rRNA from 1 species